CACACGGGCUCACGAGGAUUUGGUAGCCCCACAAAUCCCUGGUCCCUGGGGCACCCCGUUUGCAGACGAGAGUUGGCAACCAGACAGAACAGUUCUUGAGGCUGCACACCUGGCCCAGGGGGAGGGCCCGGGGGCCAGGUGCAGCCCAGGGCAGGCGGAGGGACUGCAGGAAGCUGGGCCAGGCUCCAGCGCAGGGCGGAGCCUCCCAGGGAAGGGCCGUGGCCUGUUCCUCGCUUACUCAUUCAUCUAGUUUGCACCAUUGUGUGGCCUGGGUGCGGGUCACGGUACCAGGGGAGCCGGCUAAGACCAAACACACAGCCCUGCCCUCAGGGGGGUUCAGAAGGGGUCGGCAAGUUCGUUGACAAACAUCAUCUCAUUUGGUGAGGUAAGAACAUCCCUGGUAGAAGGAACAGCUUGAGUGGAACAGGAGUCUGGAAGCUACGUGGGGUUGGGGCAGAAACAGUAAGUGACAGACAUGUCUGGUUGAAGCGCAGGAGUGUCAUCAGAGCCGAGGCUGGAAAUGUGGCUGGGUGAGGCUGACCUCAGAGAGCCUCUCAGAGGUCACAGAAGGAGCCUGGACAUCACUUGAGAGGCAAGGAGGAGCUCCUGCUGAGCUCUGAGCAGCGAGUGAUAAGACCGCAGACGACAGCACUGAUUAAUCCUUGGGUGAGGGGCGCCGGGCGGCCGGAGCAGAAGAAAUAGGAAGUUGGGAAGCCAGAUGAGACAGACUUAGAACAUUCUGGAAGAGAAGAGAGGGCACUGCUGAGAGACACCCACCACCAUCAACUCCCACCGCUGUGAAGCCUCACGUGGACCGAAACCCAAGGCCAACAAAGCCCUUUACAUCAGUCAUCUCCAUCUGGUGGAUACAUGGUUACCCCAGUGGAUGGGUGAGGAGACAGAGACUCAGAGAGCGUAAGUAACUUGCCCAAGACCUCGAAGUUAAUAAAUAGCAGAGCUGGGACUCAAACUCCAGUCUGUUUUCCAUCAUUCCUCAAGCAUUUAUUGUGCCAGGCCCCACAAUGAGGGCUGUCUGACACUAAAUCCACUGCUCUUAGCAGCGAGGCUACACCAGCUCAUACGGUGGUCAACCUCCAAGCCAUGAUGCAGGAAGGUAACUCAUGAGUGCAUGGAGGAACUGGAGAACAAUUAGAAAUUGGAGACGGUGGCUAAACCAUGUGGGCUAUUCGAUCACACACAUUCAGACUCACCCAACACAGAAUCUUCUGGGCCUGGAAAGGUUGAUGGCCAACACGAGAGGGGAAGAGGGAAAGGAGAGUCCCAGGAAAUUUCAGACCAUCUGCAGCCCCCUCAUUCAGCCAAGAACCUGAUCGUCACCCAGUGAUGGGAGUCCACAAAAAAAGGAGAGCUUGGGAAGGCUUCAGUCACAGGCAAUUGCAAUUCUUGGAGGUCAAAACCGACCACAUUUUGUUGGAUGCUCACAUGGUCCAAUCUAAUACAGACGCUGUCGUGUCACUUUCGCUGCUUUUCAUUCCUUCACCCAACACUGGGUGGGGUCCUAUCAAAUGCCAACAGUGGGAACACAGGAACAAAGCAUGUGUGGCUCCUGUCCCCCUGAAGCUGUGGUCUGCUGCGGGUCACAGACAGAAGACACACAGUCACAAGUGUAACAGGUGAUGGCAGCGUGUCAUAGGGGAUUACCUGUCUGGGGGAUUGGGAACAGCUUCCCCAGUGACGUGUAGUCCAAGCUGAGAACCACAGCAUGAGCUGGAAAUGCCCCAGCACAUGGGGUAGGAGGAAGGUGUCCCAGAAGAAGAAAUCAAGGGCCAGAAGGCUUUGGAGGAAAAGACAGGGAAGUCUGGCCAGGAUUUACUAUGGGAGUAACAGGCUGCCAGAUAAAGGGAGACCAGGGUUUUCUUCUGUUUAGACUUUCAAAGGUCAAGCCAAAUACGGCUUACCAUCAAAAACAUUUUAACAGGCGUAGGAUCUUUGAAAUGUUUCCUGCUGUGUUCUCCCUUUUGCUAAUUCAGUAUUUUUUUUCCUCUUCUCUCUCGAAUUGCCACCACCAUGAAACUUAAACCAUGAGGCUUUUGUCCCAUGACGGAAUGUGGGAUAACAUCUGUAGCACAGAGAAGAUUUGUUGCCAGACAGUGCAGGCGAAUGGAAGGCCCUUUCAGGGCAGGAGGAGAUGGUCGGAGGGUCCUAGGGCAGCAGAACGAUUCAGGUCUUAACGAACAAUGCCCAGAGUCCAGUGACAACACAGCCAAGGUUCAUUCACCUUCAUGGAACGAUGAGGGGAGGGGGAUCUCUAUCCCACUGAGUCACUUCGGAACACAAGAGCCUUCUGACAAUGAUCUAGCUGCCCUCUAGGGUCCUGGAGUCCUUCACCGAGCACUUCCCACUUCCCAUCCCAUGAGCAGCAAGAGGAGAGAGCAUGGAAGAUCAGAAGAGCUUAUGGGUCAGAUGGACAUGAGAAGAAUAUCCAGGGAGCUUCCCCGGUGGCUCAGUGAUAAAGAAUCCGCCUGCCAGUGCGGAAGAUGUGGAUUUGAUCCCUGAUCUGGAAAGAUCCCACAGGCCGAGGGAUCACCAAGCGCCUGAGCCACAAUACUGAGCCUGUGCUCUAGAGCCCAGGAGCGGCAACUACUGAGGCCACGAACUGCAACUCCUGAAGCCCAGGGGGCCUAGAGCCUGUGCUCUUCAACAGGAGAGAAGUGAGAACAGUGAGAAGUCCAAGCACAACAGUGGAGGCUACCCCCUGCUUGCCGCAACUAGAGAAAGCCUGCUCACAGCAGCAACAACCCAGCAGAGCCAAAAAUAAAUACUAAUACAAUUAUUUUUUUAAAAAAGAAUAUCCAGGGACUGCCACCACCACCCCGACCCCUGGCACCUGACCCCUCCUGCUUCCAGAGGUGCCCAGCCCUGCCCGGGUCACCAAGUCCCACCCCCCUGCCCUCUGGACAUGCCCCAGCCACGCCCCCUUUCCUCCGCCUUCAUCAAUUUCCCCUCCCUGCUGGAUAAUCCUCACUCGCAUUCAAAGGAGCCAGUAACUACUCUCAUCUUUACAAAACCUCUGACUGCAUGUCUCUCUCCAGCUAUCACCCCAUUUCUCAGCUCCCUUUUAUUACAAAAUUUAUCAAAAGCGUUAUCUGCCUGCUCUGC